GGAGAGGUGUCCGAGUCUGGCUUAAGGAGCACGCCUGGAAAGCGUGUAUACCCUAACGGGUAUCGGAGGUUCGAAUCCUCUCCUCUCCGCCA
rnacentral:tRNA from 1 species